GACGAACGCUGGCGGCGUGCCUAAUACAUGCCAGUAGAACGCUGAAGGAGGAGCUUGCUUCUCUGGAUGAGUUGCGAACGGGUGAGUAACGCGUAGGUAACCUGCCUGGUAGCGGGGGAUAACUAUUGGAAACGAUAGCUAAUACCGCAUAAGAGUAGAUGUUGCAUGACAUUUGCUUAAAAGGUGCAAUUGCAUCACUACCAGAUGGACCUGCGUUGUAUUAGCUAGUUGGUGGGGUAACGGCUCACCAAGGCGACGAUACAUAGCCGACCUGAGAGGGUGAUCGGCCACACUGGGACUGGGACACGGCCCAGACUCCUACGGGAGGCAGCAGUAGGGAAUCUUCGGCAAUGGACGGAAGUCUGACCGAGCAACGCCGCGUGAGUGAAGAAGGUUUUCGGAUCGUAAAGCUCUGUUGUAAGAGAAGAACGAGUGUGAGAGUGGAAAGUUCACACUGUGACGGUAUCUUACCAGAAAGGGACGGCUAACUACGUG
rnacentral:rRNA from 1 species